rnacentral:rRNA from 1 species
CCCGCAACGAGCGCAACCCUCGACCUUAGUUGCCAGCAUUCAGUUGGGCACUCUAAGGUGACUGCCGGCUAAAAGUCGGAGGAAGGUGGGGAUGACGUCAAAUCAUCAUGCCCCUUAUGACCUGGGCUACACACGUGCUACAAUGGGCGGUACAAAGGGUCGCGAACCCGCGAGGGGGAGCCAAUCCCAAAAAGCCGCUCUCAGUUCGGAUUGCAGGCUGCAACUCGCCUGCAUGAAGCCGGAAUCGCUAGUAAUCGCGGAUCAGCAUGCCGCGGUGAAUACGUUCCCGGGCCUU